AUCCGGUGGUUCUGAAUGGAAGGGCCAUCGCUCAACGGAUAAAAGGUACUCCGGGGAUAACAGGCUGAUACCGCCCAAGAGUUCAUAUCGACGGCGGUGUUUGGCACCUCGAUGUCGGCUCAUCACAUCCUGGGGCUGAAGUAGGUCCCAAGGGUAUGGCUGUUCGCCAUUUAAAGUGGUACGCGAGCUGGGUUUAGAACGUCGUGAGACAGUUCGGUCCCUAUCUGCCGUGGGCGCUGGAAGACUGAGGGGGGCUGCUCCUAGUACGAGAGGACCGGAGUGGACGCAUCACUGGUGUUCGGGUUGUCAUGCCAAUGGCACUGCCCGGUAGCUAAAUGCGGAAGAGAUAAGUGCUGAAAGCAUCUAAGCACGAAACUUGCCCCGAGAUGAGUCUUCCCUGAGACUUUAAGUCUCCUGAAGGAACGUUAAAGACGAUGACGUUGAUAGGCCGGGGGUGUAAGCGCAGCGAUGCGUUGAGCUAACCGGUACUAAUGAACCGUGAGGCUUAACCUU
rnacentral:rRNA from 1 species